UACGUAGGGUGCAAGCGUUGUCCGGAAUUAUUGGGCGUAAAGAGCUCGUAGGCGGUUCGUCGCGUCGGCUGUGAAAUCCCGAGGCUCAACCUCGGGUCUGCAGUGGGUACGGGCAAACUAGAGUGCGGUAGGGGAGAUUGGAAUUCCUGGUGUAGCGGUGGAAUGCGCAGAUAUCAGGAGGAACACCGAUGGCGAAGGCAAUGUUCUGGCUCGUUUCUGACGCUCAGGUGCGAAAGCCAGGGGAGCGAACGGG
rnacentral:rRNA from 1 species